UCAGCUGGUGGGACGUGAACAGAGGCGAGUGAGGUUCUCUGAGGUGAAUGUGUUUAUUGGAACCCUGAUUUACAGCUUCCUGUGUAGAAGAACAUUUUCAUUUGUGUGUGUGCGCGUGCGCUUACAGUGCUACGUCGACACAGAAAAAGGUCGGGUGAAAUGUUAAUGAUGUACAUGUUUUGUUUAUGGUGAGUGGCUGAUCUUUGCAGCUCGGUGCCGGGGCGAGUUUUAAACAUUUCAAUCGAGUUUGUGUCAAAGCGCUGCUCCCCUUUCAGGAGUCAACACCCCGAUGACAUCUCAUUUAUUUGGCUGGUUUGUUUUGAUGACUCACCUCUACAAGCCAGGUUCUUUAGGAAGGCACAAAGCCUCCUACGGCGAUCCAAAUCGGCACCGCAGGAGUGCAGAACUACAUCCAACUUGGCGGCUCCCAGCCGGAUGCACAUUUUCCAUUCAACUAAUCUGCUGUCAUGUCACUUGUUUGAUCACGGUGAGGAGUGUGACAGCGACUGGAUGCGAGCGUUGAGUCAUUUUGUUGGAAGCGAAGGCAGCCGGCAUCAUCGCUGAGUCAGUACCGGGAGCGCCGCUAGCCGGCUGGGGAGGAUAUUUCCAGCCCCUGGAAGGACGGGGGGCCCGGUUUCUAGACGAAUCAAACACGUGGAGCAGAACCAGGCAAAUAAAACCACAGAACAUCUGGCACCAGACUCCUACAAAACCCCACACAGGCCCAGGAAAAGCUCCCAAACGGUACAGCGCUUCUAUCACGUUGAGAUUAAAAGGAGAUAUUUGACAGAGACGAUCGCACCAGCGUUGUCUCAGCUCCUCGGAGAUGUAAUUAGGCUCGUCCCACACAUUGCAGCUCCCCAGUCGGAUGUGGCAACGCCGCGAUCCCAGUGUCACGCAGAGGAAGCGGGAUGACGUUAAACCCGCGUAAACUUUUUAAUUGAUGCUUGGUCGCAGCUGCAGGGCGAGCUAGCUAGCGCGGCUGAGUUUGCUAAGCUAAGCUAAAAGUUACAAAAACAAAUGAAUAAAUGUGCUACAUUUCUUGAACUCCGUGGAAAACCUGUAUUUUAUUUGACAUUUUUUGUAUAUGAGGCGAGAGUUUUUCUUUAGAGUCACAAAGCUGAAGGCACCAGUUUACAGUUUCAUGACUUUCCUCCCUGAAUGCACCAGGAAUUAGCUUUAAUUAUUCAGUGUUUCUCUUUGCUUGCAAAUAAAAAAAAUAUUUUGGCCUGGUCUACCUUCAGCCGGCGAACAGUGAGAAUCUACUGUGUCAAAAUAAACCCGUCUGUUUAUUUGUGGCAAGGAAGCACUUGUCAGCCAGGUUUCCAUUGAGAUGUCGUUCUUCUCCAAAUGUAGCAGCAACAAUAAACCGGCCAGCUGCCUUUUAACCGCUGCAGAAGAAGAGCGCAACGAGGCGACAUCAUCAAAAGAAGAAGCAUCUCAAACACUGGAGCUCUUUAUUGGGGUCAAGUUGGGUUUUUCAUUGUGUUUGCUCAGAAUACAACAAAUAUACUCUCUUGUCACUUGUACCAGUGUAAUAAACUCCCAGUGAGUCAAGUUCGUUGUUUAAAUUCGCAGCUCUGCGACGCGACCCCCCCCCCAUCACUGAUUCAGCAAACCACUACCAGCCUUCUAGUAAAUACAUAUGCAGAGACGGCUCAGCGUGAGGCUGACCCUAAAAGCUUCCGUGGAGCGCUGCGAGCUGAUUCCUCACCUCAUUAGACACAUAGGAAGUGGGACACCGGGAGGAAACAGGAGCAUGUAAAGACUAUGAGAUGUUAUAGACGGGUUUCCGGCUAAGCGACUGCACACGUGCGCGUGGUCCAGCCAGGAGGCGCUCGCAGGGAAUAACACUGAUGAAUAAUGUGGGAGGGUCCGUCCUCCCUCCCUCCUUUUCCUUCCUUCCUGUCUUGCAGGCACAGAGAAAGCUCCUUUCUGUCAAGACAGAAGCUCAUCAGCAUUCAGCAUGCGCCACCAGCCCACUGCAUCCAAUCACAUGCACUUGAGCAUACAGAGUGCACGUGUGUGUGUGUGUGUGUGUGUGUGUGUGUGUGUGUGUGUGUGGCUAAUCGCAGAGACAGGCAAGAGAAUCCCUUUGUGUUGCCUGAGAGUCCCCAAGGUCAUGUCCAGGCACUCGUGAACACAUCCAAGACAGGCACAAGUUGUCGCAGCCUCGGUCUGAAGAAUAUUUCCACAUAACGGAAUCGACGUUCGACUCGACUUUCGCCGAGAGAUUGCCGUCGUGUUUAAUACCUAGUUUCUAUGGCAACCAGCGGCCGCGGCAUACCUGACCUACAUAUGUGCCGUAUGUACACAAACACACAGCAGCCAUCUGUUACUGUCACUGUCGCACAGCGGCGCGCGGAUGCUUUGAGUGGCAGCUUAAUGACUUUAUCAGACACUGGAGCAAACAACAGCAUCUUCUACUGGUCUUUUACAAGAAGAGACAGUGAUCACAUUGAAUGGUUGUUUACUACAUCUGUAAAUAUAAACAAGUAGAGUUCAAUGUAUUUAAAAGAACAACAGAUUUUGGCUGUAAUCACGUUUUGGCAACAUGAAAGCAUAUUACUGGUAUAUAUUAUAUAUGAGGCAUAGAAAUGUGUGUGUAGGAAAUUGGCUUUAUUAUUUAAGUUACUGUGUACAUUCAGUUCCGGUAGGAUACAUUUUGAAUAUAAAGGUGACUGAUGAAGUAGGAAAGUUUCGAAUAAAAAUUUGGCCAAUUGAUUUUGGUAAACAUUUGUUUUAUACGUUGUGGGUUUGCCAGACACAAUCCAGGGAAACAGUAGCUGUGACAGUAACAGACCUCACUCUGCUUGUUGUUGGUCUUCUUCCUUUCCUUAGUAGAAACUGAAUCUACCAUUGGUUCACAAAGAGUAACUCCUGAAUCGGAUUUGAUGACACGCCUUUGAUUUUUGGCCCAUAUACUAACUUGUGUUUCCAAAUAAUAUUAUCAAGAAGUGAUAUGUUUAGAGUGCACCACUUGGAAACAAGGACACUCACUUGGUUUGGACCCCUUCCUGGGAACCGCUUGGACUGGCUGCUCCUGGGGCUGCAUGGAACAGUGUGAAGGGUGACAUUGCCCUAGGCAGAACCACUGAUUCCAUCCGACGUGUUGCUGUGUCGGUGAGCAGUGCCCCACUGAGGAGGGAGUGGCCAUAGCCGUGGCAGCCAACGUCAUCUGAGGAGGAACAAGCUGCUUACAGUAUGAUCCCUAAACAGAUAUGAAACUUUACCAAAUUCACUAAUAUCAACAAGCACAAUAUGUCUCCAUCAAAUAAAGAGUCAUGAUCCUCAAUGUCUUUAUUGAACACUCCAAUUUAACAUGUUGCUGGUAAGAGGAAAGGUGUU